rnacentral:rRNA from 1 species
GACAGAGGCCCCGAGCGUUAGUCGGAAUUACUGGGCUUAAAGGGUGCGUAGGCGGGCGUGUAAGUGCUUUGUGAAAGCCCUGGGCUCAACCCAGGAACCGCAGGGCAUACUGCACGUCUAGAAGUAGCUAGAGGCCGGUGGAACGAUCGGUGGAGCGGUGGAAUGCGUAGAGAUCGAUCGGAACGCCAAGGGUGAAGACAACCGGCUGGGGCUUACUUGACGCUGAGGCACGAAAGCGUGGGGAUCAAACAGG